rnacentral:rRNA from 1 species
GACGAACGCUGGCGGCGUGCCUAAUACAUGCCAGUAGAACGCACAGUUUAUACCGUAGCUUGCUACACCAUAGACUGUGAGUUGCGAACGGGUGAGUAACGCGUAGGUAACCUGCCUGGUAGCGGGGGAUAACUAUUGGAAACGAUAGCUAAUACCGCAUAAUAUUAAUUAUUGCAUGAUAAUUAAUUGAAAGGUGCAAUUGCACCACUACCAGAUGGACCUGCGUUGUAUUAGCUAGUAGGUGAGGUAACGGCUCACCUAGGCGACGAUACAUAGCCGACCUGAGAGGGUGAUCGGCCACACUGGGACUGAGACACGGCCCAGACUCCUACGGGAGGCAGCAGUAGGGAAUCUUCGGCAAUGGACGGAAGUCUGACCGAGCAACGCCGCGUGAGUGAAGAAGGUUUUCGGAUCGUAAAGCUCUGUUGUAAGAGAAGAACGGGUGUGAGAGUGGAAAGUUCACACUGUGACGGUAUCUUAACAGAAAGGGACGGCUAACUACGUG